UACGAAGGGGGCUAGCGUUGCUCGGAAUCACUGGGCGUAAAGGGUGCGUAGGCGGGUCUUUAAGUCAGGGGUGAAAUCCUGGAGCUCAACUCCAGAACUGCCUUUGAUACUGAGGAUCUUGAGUUCGGGAGAGGUGAGUGGAACUGCGAGUGUAGAGGUGAAAUUCGUAGAUAUUCGCAAGAACACCAGUGGCGAAGGCGGCUCACUGGCCCGUAACUGACGCUGAUGCGCGAAAGCGUGGGGAGCAAACGGG
rnacentral:rRNA from 1 species